UUCCUACUUGUUUUUGUGCGUUUACCAUAAAGUAUGUACGAGGAGCGCACAUAAGAUCUUGGAGCGGCUGGCUUGACCACGCAAAAACGAAAGACGGCUGACGUGACCGCAGUGGAAAAGACGUGUAACAAGGAGGGUGAGACGCCUCUUCAGAUCCUUCUUUAACUAUUGCUCGGCCUCGUAUCGUCGUGGGAUUUCUGCUCCGCCCGGCUCUCCUCAAAUAACCUCCACCGGUUCUCCUCAGAUAACUUCCACCAGUUGGUUCAGCCUCAGGCUCAGGGCAGAGUUUCUCCUCCUCCAUCUGCCCGCCAACAUUCCUGCUGACAUAAAUCAUUUUUCUGCUUCCCCCACAUUUAAGUCUGAACAAAAAAACUGCCUCAGUUGCUGUAAUUAGUGGCCUGCACAAUCACCCCAAGAGUCCCUGCAGAACUUUAAACAACCAGAGCAGCUCUAACUGAAAACGCAUCAGUUGUUUUUAUCUGCAGGAACUUGCCAGUAAGCUUUUUUUUUUUUUUUUUCCUGGUAUAAAAGAGUUUUUUCUCCCUGUUGUUGGCAAGGUUUUGUUGCAUGGAAAUCAAAAGAAACUUUGGAGUUGCUAGUUUCUCUGUCAACAAAUUUGUUUGAACUUUAUAUAACUAUGUGAGGUAAAAAAAAAAAUCAAGUUGAAUUAAAUUGAAUUUAUCGCUGGUGUUCUCACACUGUAAAAACAGUCUCCUUUAAAAUAACAGCUGCUGUGGUUGUGGUUUAUUUUACAGUGUUAUGAUUUGUUUAGAUAGUAAAUUGCUGUACUUAUUGUGAAAAGUUCAUUUUGCUGCAAAAUGUGAGGUUUACUGUAAAUUACUAGCUGUUGUCAGGGCUUUUUGCAGUAUUUUACAGUGUUACUAUCGCAAUUUUUUUAAACAGUUAAGUCAUAUUAAAUAAUGCAGUGCUAUACAGAAAAAUAUGAGGUUUACAGUUAAAUACUGUAACUAGACUUCCCUUUAAUAACCUGUUUUACAGUUUUGUGUUGACAUAAAAAGCUUUAAUUAGCGUGUACUGUAGUUAUCUGUAAAUUACAUCUGUAUAAAUAAAUCUGUAAAAAUGUAGAAAAAAUUGCUGUAUAUUGGUAAUUAGAUAUCAUAAAUAACAAUGUGUCUUUAAUCUUUAUGACCCAGAAUUAAGUACCAACUCUGUUUAACUGUCAGGCUGGCAGCAGCUCUCUCCCUCUCUCUCUCUCUCUCUCUCUCUCUCUCUCUCCCAUUGUAAUUAUCAGGUGCAGCUGGAGAAGUGCAUCCAAUCAAGCCCUCUUCACCACAAUAUAAUCCAGACUCCUUUUGUCUCCCAGUGCCGGAUCGUUGCACACCUAGUAAUGCCUCUUGUGCUCACUAGUCUGUUGCUCUGUGUGGCCAACCUUUAAUUCUGACUGUCCUGAGGCCAGUCCCGUUUAGUCGUCUUUAGCUAAGUUUAAAUUACCUAAGGCCUUGAACUAUAGUUUUUGCAAUAGCGUGCUUUGUCUUUGAAUCUGAGUUUUGCUCUCUAGCCUAGUUGAUUAAUCUAGCUCCUCGUAAAUUCUGAUCUGUUCUACAAUCGCGUACUUUGUCUCAUAGUCAGAGUUGUUCCAAAGCCACCUUGUGCUUCACCCUUAGUUGUUCACUGAGUUUAGAAUAUUUGAGUUGGGUGACUUUAGCCUGUAGUAUUUAGAUUCUGUUAAUAAACCCUUUGAAAUGCA